rnacentral:misc_RNA from 1 species
AUUUCCUUGUCUGCAAAGCAAUAGUUACAUCCUCACAUACUGAAACCACAUCCAUUAUCAAGAAAUCUAACAGAGAUACACUAUUCCCAAAAAAUAGAUUUCCUUUUCUUCUUAUUUUUCCGCACCAAAGAACGUUAUUAAUGACACUAUUAUUAAUUAUAGAAAUCUCAAUUUCUUCUCACAUCUUUCCACAAAGAAGAGUUUUAUCAAAAGAGCUAACAUAUCAAACAUUUGAACCUCCAGAACCAAACAAAAUUAAAGACGAAAAUGAAGUAAAACAAUGAACACAGUAUUAGGAGUGACAAUGAGAGUGA